GGUAGCUGGAGGUCAACACCAAGACUCUAUAAAUUCUCGGCAAGCUUCUACCAAGUGAUGCCCCAGGCCUUAUAUUUGCUCCUUUCUAGGUAUAAGUGCUUAUCUGGAGUUCUAAAUUGGAAAUCAGCAGCCUUUCCCUGAAGAACCAGACAGCGAAUGUUGCAGAAUCUGCAGAGAUGAGGAACAUGAGGGUCAGGGUGCAUUGAAGACCUGAGCAGAGAAAGUGGGAGACUGAGGACUUGAACCCCACUUCACUCUCAGCCAAAGUUCACGAUCAAGAGCUGGGCAUUGUCACGGUCCCUGGAGCUGUGGUUUCCUUAGGGACCUCAGAAACCAGAGGGACUACUGUGAAUGUCUAGGAGUGAGGUGCAGGCACUUGUCUCUGAAUCGGCGUGGGUGGGUACCUGCACUGCUGAUGCACAGCCUGCUUUCCUCUGCAUUGAAGGCGAAGGGCCCUUCCUCAACUUUGCCUUUGUGUGACAACACUAGAUGCAGAAGAACAAAACCGAACAUGACCCUGACAUGAGCAGUUUUACCCUGUGGGCCCCUCCGAACUUUAGUCUCUUCCUCUGAAAAUUGGGAUUGUGGCUCCCUUCACAAAGAAGGUAGAUAGCAAAGCAGUUGGUAUAGC
rnacentral:lncRNA from 1 species